AUGGCACAUGACAAUGGGGGUAAUGUGGAUAUCACGAUGAGUGGUGUUGUGACAAACCAACAGUGUGAACAAGCACACACGACAAGCUUUGGUUCUGCAAACAUCAAAAAAACAGACGAAGUCAGCGAGCCAGCAAGUCCAGAAACAGGAGGAGAAAAUGCUAAUCAGGCAGACAAAAACACCGAGGCACACUCCACACUGAAGCCUCCUAAUGAAACGAUGAAGUUUGAUACUUAUGAGGAAGCUUAUGAUCAUUACAAGCAAUAUGCACUAAGACAUGGGUUUGGGAUGAGGUUGGAAUACAGAAAAACAAUUAAAGACGACAUUGUAAGAAGAGUCCUCUUGGUUUGUGGGAAAUAUGACAAGCCAAAAACAAACAAGGAGACACAUGAUGUGCAGAACCCAAAAGGCAUCGUGAAGAAGAGGAAAAUAGGGGAGGUUGUGAGGUCGGGAUGUCCGGCCCAACUUUACAUCACCCACACGGAUGCAUGGUGGAGAGUUAAAUGCUUCAACGACGACCACAACCACCCUCUAAUAAGAAAUCCGUCCUUGACAAAGUUCCUAUCAUCACAUAGGAACAUUCCAAAGGAUGAGCAGGACUUCUUGAAGAUAUUGCACGGAUGCAACAUAGAGACAGCAAGACAGAUGCAACUAAUGCAAUGGUUCUACGGGUCUCCUAAAGAUGUACCAUACACGACAAAGGACAUUGCAAACCAGCGAGCUAAAUUCCGCAUGGAGUACCACCACGCUGAUAUAGAUGGUGCGUCGCGCAUGGCAUAUGCUAGAUACAAUGAUGUCAUCUCCUUCGACACAACAUACAUGACAAACAUGUACAAGAUGCCCUAUGCGCCCUUCAUUGGCAUUAAUAACCAUGGGUAG
rnacentral:rRNA from 1 species